AACGGUUCUGCCCGAGAGGGUGGAUGAAAAGGGAACACGGUGAAGCAUUAAAUUGCUGAUGCCGAGACUGCCCCCGCAACUGUAACCGGAGAGUCAUCCUCCUAUGAUCGUAUCUUACGAUUAUAGCCACUGAGCAUUCGUGUUCGGGAAGGCGGAGGACCGAUGAAGACCCGGAAGUCAGGAGACCUGCCGUAUCC
rnacentral:ncRNA from 1 species